UCUGACUGGCUGUUCAGCCUAGGCUGCACACGCCCCCACUUUCCUCUACCAGGCCACACCGGAGGCAGUGCUCACACAGGCAAGCUACCAGGCCACAACAACGACACCCACCUCACCUCUGGCACCUCUGAGCAUCCACGUACUUGCAAGAACUCUUGCUCACAUCAGCUAAGAGAUUGCACCUGCUGACCUAGAGAUUCCGGCCUGUGCUCCUGUGCUGCUGAGCAGACUGCAGCGUGGGGGACCCUGGGCACCCUCAGGACCUUCUUGAACUUCAGCGUGGACAAGGAUGCGCAGAGGCUACUGAGGGCCAUUACUGGCCAAGGCGUGGACCGCAGUGCCAUUGUGGACGUGCUGACCAACCGGAGCAGAGAGCAAAGGCAGCUCAUCUCACGAAACUUCCAGGAGCGCACCCAACAGGACCUGAUGAAGUCUCUACAGGCAGCACUUUCCGGCAACCUGGAGAGGAUUGUGAUGGCUCUGCUGCAGCCCACAGCCCAGUUUGACGCCC
rnacentral:sRNA from 1 species